rnacentral:rRNA from 1 species
GGGGCGCAGCAGGCGCGUAACCUCCACAAUGCGCGAAAGCGUGAUGGGGGGAUCCUGAGUGCUUACAUUUAUUGUAAGCUUUUGCCAAGAGUACAUAUCUUGGAGAAUAAGUGGUGGGUAAGACCGGUGCCAGCAGCCGCGGUAACCCCGGCGCCACGAGUGGCAAUCUUAUAUUGGGCCUAAAGCAUUCGUAGCAGGUUUGAAAAAUCCUUUGUGAAAUUGUUGAACUCAAUACAACAGCAUGCAGGGGACACUUUCAGACUAGAGACUGGGAGGAGUUGGGGGUAUGCCUUGGGGAGCGGUUAAAUGUGAUAAUCCAAGGUAGACCACCUGUGGCGAAGGCGCCCAACUAGAACAGUUCUGACUGUGAGGGAUGAAAGCUAGGGGAGCGAUCCGGAUUAGAUACCCGAGUAGUCCUAGCUGUAAACACUGUGAGCUAGGUGUCGCAUAUUCUACGAGAAUAUGCGGUGUCGAAAAGAAGUUGAUAAGCUCACCGCCUGGGAAGUACGGUCGCAAGACUGAAACUUAAAGGAAUGG